rnacentral:rRNA from 1 species
AUUGAACGCUGGCGGUAUGCUUUACACAUGCAAGUCGAACGGUAACAGGUCUUCGGAUGCUGACGAGUGGCGAACGGGUGAGUAAUGUAUCGGAACGUGCCUAGUAAUGGGGGAUAACCACUCGAAAGAGUGACUAAUACCGCAUAAUAUCUCAGGAUGAAAGCGGGGGAUCGCAAGACCUCGCGUUAUUAGAGCGGCCGAUAUCAGAUUAGGUAGUUGGUGGGAUAAAAGCCUACCAAGCCAACGAUCUGUAGCUGGUCUGAGAGGACGACCAGCCACACUGGGACUGAGACACGGCCCAGACUCCUACGGGAGGCAGCAGUGGGGAAUUUUGGACAAUGGGCGAAAGCCUGAUCCAGCAAUACCGCGUGCAGGACGAAGGCCUUCGGUUGUAAACUGCUUUGUACGGAACGAAACGGUUCAGAUUAAUACUCUGAACUAAUGACGGUACCGUAAGAAUAAGCACCGGCUAACUACGUGCCAGCAGCCGCGGUAAACUGU